CUUACCGCAAAUUCUUGAAGAAAUUACCGCUGAUUUGACUCCUUCUGUUGAGCUUUUCUUGAUUUUCGUCAGAGAGAUCAUCGGAUCUCUCGCCAUAGGUGUCAUCAGAUCGAGGUAAGUCUUUCUUCCUUUCCUUCUUUCUUUUCUAGGCCUUCCAUCAUUAGAUUUGAUUUGAUAAGCCGUCGGUCAUGGAGGAUAGGGUCCUUCCUUCCUCUUCAAUUUUUUCAUUGCUUUGCAGGUCAUCGGUGGCUGUGGUCGCCAUCGGUA
rnacentral:lncRNA from 1 species